CUGAACCAGCCAAGUAGCGUGAAGGAUGAAGGUCCUACGGAUUGUAAACUUCUUUUAUAUGGGAAUAAAGUAUUCCACGUGUGGAAUUUUGUAUGUACCAUAUGAAUAAGGAUCGGCUAACUCCGUGCCAGCAGCCGCGGUAAUACGGAGGAUCCGAGCGUUAUCCGGAUUUAUUGGGUUUAAAGGGAGCGUAGGUGGAUUGUUAAGUCAGUUGUGAAAGUUUGCGG
rnacentral:rRNA from 1 species